UUUCUACUCCCUCCGAUCCAUAUUAAUUGACUCAAAUUUGUCCAAAUAUGGAUGUAUCUAUCCCUAAAAAACGUCUAGAUACAUGUAAUAUUUCGACAAUUAAUAUGGAUCGGAAGGAGUAACAG
rfam:Brachypodium distachyon strain Bd21 chromosome 2, whole genome shotgun sequence.